rnacentral:rRNA from 1 species
AGGCAGCAGUGGGGGAUAUUGCACAAUGGGGGGAACCCUGAUGCAGCGACGCCGCGUGGGUGAAGGAGCGUUUCGGCGCGUAAAGCCCUAUCGGCAGGGAAGAAGGAGGACGGUACCUGACUAAGAAGCCCCGGCUAACUACGUGCC